AGAGUUUGAUCAUGGCUCAGAUUGAACGCUGGCGGCAUGCCUUACACAUGCAAGUCGAACGCGAAAGGGGGUAACCCCGAGUAAAGUGGCGUACGGGUGAGUAACACGUGGAUCAUCUACCUCUUAGUGGGGAAUAACCCUGGGAAACCGGGGCUAAUACCGCAUAAGCCUGAAAAGGGAAAGCAGCAAUGCGCUGAGAGAGGAGUCCGCGGCCGAUUAGCUAGUUGGUAGGGUAAAGGCCUACCAAGGCAAUGAUCGGUAGCCGGCCUGAGAGGGCACACGGCCACACUGGCACUGAAACACGGGCCAGACUCCUACGGGAGGCAGCAGUGGGGAAUCUUGCACAAUGGAGGAAACUCUGAUGCAGCGACGCCGCGUGAGCGAUGAAGCCCUUCGGGGUGUAAAGCUCUUUCGACGGGAACGAUAAUGACGGUACCCGGAGAAGAAGCUGCGGCUAACUACGUGCCAGCAGCCGCGGUAAUACGUAGGCAGCAAGCGUUGUUCGGAAUUACUGGGCGUAAAGAGUGUGUAGGCGGUUCUCUAUGUUCGGUGUGAAAUCUCCCGGCUUAACUGGGAGGGUGCGCCGAAAACUGGAGGGCUUGAGUAUGGGAGAGGAAAGCGGAAUUCCUGGUGUAGCGGUGAAAUGCGUAGAUAUCAGGAGGAACACCUGCGGUGUAGACGGCUUUCUGGACCAUCACUGACGCUGAGACACGAAAGCGUGGGUAGCAAACAGGAUUAGAUACCCUAGUAGUCC
rnacentral:rRNA from 1 species